GUGUUUUGUCUCUUUUACAGUGAAAUAGAGACACGUGACACUGAGACAAACUUCACCUGAGUCUGUGUCUAAAACUGUUUGAACCAGUUUAACAAGUUCAGUCUAUGUUUAUUAUGAGUCACACCUUUUAUAAUGAACUUCAGGCUGCACUGAUUUAAGACACAGGACGACACUGAUAAAGUUUCAUUUCACUUGUGACAGAUUCAAACUCCAGACGACGUUUGUCCUUGAGGGGGCGCUGUAAACAACACAAAUGGGUGGAUCCAAGAGCAAGACCAGUCCAGCUCCAACAAGGAAAAGGAGAUGGAGCAAAGAGUAUCAACCUGAGUUUGGAUUCCACGAGUCCAGUGAUUAUGAGUUUUAUCAGUCAAUCCCUGCUUUCCAUAGUGUCUAUGAAAAUAAUGUCAGUGAGCUACAGGAAACACAACAAAGAGAAGAAAUUAAGAAGAAGAAAAGAAGAGGGAUGAUUGUGUCAGCAGUUACUUUAGCUGUUGGAGCUUUAGCUUUAGCCUCUUUCCCGUUCACUGGACUGAGUUUAAUUGCACUGGGACUAGGAGCAGCUGCCGGUGUCAGUGGAAUUGCUGCUGGUAUUGGAGUAAAUGCCACAUUCAAAAGAGAAAUGAAAAACAUGAAUGAAAGAAAAAGCAGAAAGCAUUAGCAGAGUUGCUAAGCAACUGGAGACAGACCUGAACAAUGAGGAGACAGAGCGAAACUUUGAAAGUCAAAUGACCAUCCUCAGUCAGCUGUGCCAUCCAAACUAUAACUAAAACUAUAGAAGAAAUCAAUAAAAUUCAGAGUGGAGUUCCUGUUUGGCUAAAGGCCUCCGCCUCGGUACAACACCGGGUGAGCUCUGUUGAAAUCCUUCAAAUACUGGUCAAAAAUUCUGCUAAAACGCAGUGUGGAUUUUAUAAUUCGUAUUCUCUACUAUGGCGUAGCUGAAGAUUCAAUACAUUUCUUUUGUCAGAUGAAGACUUCACAAAAGUUUAACCACUGAAUUUAAGUCCUUUCUUGAUACUAAUAAAUCCCCAGAAAUAAGUCAGUCACUCCUGUGGGAGACCCUGAAGGCAAAUCUCAGACGGCACAUAACACAUAUGAUUGUGGACAUGGAUGAGCGAUACUCAACUCCCCUGUCACCAUCUCUUUAUGAGGAAAGGCUGAAGCUACAGAGUCUGACUUAUUCUCUUAUCUUAAAUCAGAUUUAUUCAGAGAUCUACAGAAGGACUCUCCCUCUUUCUCCAUUGUGCCAGAUGAUAGUUUGUUAGACAGCAUUCUCUCACUUUCCCCACCUAAAUUUAUACAACUUCAUAAGUAACAUUUGUCCUCCACCUGAGGAAAGGCGGUGGGAGACUGACUUGGUCUUGUAUUGAGUGAUGAGAUGUGGGAGGCCUCUCUUGAAAGUGUACAUGGAUCCUCAAUCUGGGCGCAGCAUGAUCUUAUACAGAUGAAAGUGGUUUUACGAGCUCAUCUCACCAAUGCAAGGCCGGCAGACACAGAUCCCUCCUGUUCUCGCUGAGGCCAGUCAGCAGAUCACAUACAUGUUCUGUCCUGUCCUAAACUCAUUCUGCUGUGAUAUUAUUAUUGUCUAUUUAAUUCAUUCAUGUAUUUAUUUUCAGUACUAUGUAUUUCAUCCUCUCUUUGUUUCUUUUUUGUUUGUAAUACCAUUAUUUCUAUAAUACAGUAAUGAUACAAUUGUAAAUCUGUUAACUCCUGGAGACUAUGUUUUAUUGAAUGUUUGAUGUAAGGUGAUGUUUUGUUGGUCAGAUGUACCUGAACACUGUACUGGCAC
ensembl:lncRNA